rnacentral:rRNA from 1 species
UUCGGGUUGUAAAGUACUUUCAGCAGUGAGGAAGGUGGGUAUGUUAAUAGCAUAUUCAUUUGACGUUAGCUGCAGAAGAAGCACCGGCUAACUCCGUGCCAGCAGCCGCGGUAAUACGGAGGGUGCGAGCGUUAAUCGGAAUUACUGGGCGUAAAGCGCAUGCAGGUGGUUUGUUAAGUCAGAUGUGAAAGCCCGGGGCUCAACCUCGGAAUUGCAUUUGAAACUGGCAAACUAGAGUACUGUAGAGGGGGUAGAAUUUCAGGUGUAGCGGUGAAAUGCGUAGAGAUCUGAAGGAAUACCGGUGGCGAAGGCGGCCCCCUGGACAGAUACUGACACUCAGAUGCGAAAGCGUGGGGAGCAAACAGGAUUAGAUACCCUGGUAG